rnacentral:sRNA from 1 species
UGUGUUGUUGUUUUCUCCUUACUU